rnacentral:tRNA from 1 species
GCCCGGGUGGCUCAGUCGGUUGAGCAUCUGACUUCGGCUCAGGCCACGAUCUCGAGGUUGACGAGUUCAAGCCCCGUGUCGGGCU